UACGUAGGGUGCGAGCGUUAAUCGGAAUUACUGGGCGUAAAGUGUGCGCAGGCGGUCGUUCAAGUCGCGUGUGAAAGCCCCCCGGCUCAACUGGGGAGGGGUCACGCGAUACUGAUCGACUCGAAGGCAGGAGAGGGAAGUGGAAUUCCCGGUGUAGUGGUGAAAUGCGUAGAUAUCGGGAGGAACACCGGUGGCGAAGGCGGGUCUCUGGGCAACAACUGACGCUGAGGAGCGAAAGCGUGGGGAGCGAACAGG
rnacentral:rRNA from 1 species